UCGAGUUAUAAAAUUAGAAAUUGAUAGUGUAGAUAGCUGUGUAGUUACCAUACAGUUUGAAUUUUAUAACAUGAAGAUUGUAGGAUUGCUAUGACUUAUACUAUACGGCUUAAAUGGUACAAUUGGCAGGUGGCAUUAUUUAUUGAUUUUAUCGAAGUCAUGAGAGUUGCUUGUCAAUGAAAUAUGGUCCUUUCAUUUUAAGCCUAAGAGAGUUAUGAAGGACCCCACUUGAAGUUGCAUUUUAUAGUUGAAUUGUCCAUUUGGAGGACCAAAAUUAUCAGCCGCUUGUGCGUGAUGAUAUUUUUUCCACGAUCACAUAAUUCCUCACAAGGAAAAGGGCCAAAGAAGACCUGGGCUAAAGAAGACAACAAGAAAAGAAGAAAAAAAAA
rnacentral:lncRNA from 1 species